AGGACGAACGCUGGCGGCGUGCUUAACACAUGCAAGUCGAGCGGAAAGGCCCUUCGGGGUACUCGAGCGGCGAACGGGUGAGUAACACGUGAGUAACCUGCCCUCCACUCUGGGAUAAGCCCGGGAAACUGGGUCUAAAUACCGGAUAUGACUGCGGAUUUCAUGGUCUGUGGUGGUAAAGUUUUUUCGGUGGGGGAUGGACUCGCGGCCUAUCAGCUUGUUGGUGAGGUAAUGGCUUACCAAGGCGACGACGGGUA
rnacentral:rRNA from 1 species